AAUCAGACGAAUGAUGAGAAAAAUUGGAACAGAGGGGCUGUGGACAGGCUACUCCUUGAAGGGCAGGAAGGGGAAGAGGGCCUUUAAUGAGCUAUCAAUCUAUGAUGCUGUCACAAGAGCGUCCCUGAAAGCACACCCCAAGGCUACCUACCAAGAAGUAGAUGACAAAAUAGCAGACGCUCUCAAACAUGCACCAGCUCGGCUCAAGAGUAAGAGAAAGGAGCGGGUCGAGGAAGCGACAGUGGAUGAGGAUGGAGCAGCAGCAACUGAAUAAACAUAACAUAGUUUUUCACUUUUAGCUUUAAGCAGUUUUACAGUUCUUGAUUGGAGUGCAGUGUUCAUGUUUUUACUGACUUGUUAUUUUGUGAGCUUAUUGCUGUGAUUUUGUUUACGAAUCUAUUGUGAUACAGUUUAAGUAAAAAAAAAA
rnacentral:lncRNA from 1 species